UAGGGAAUCUUCCGCAAUGGACGAAAGUCUGACGGAGCAACGCCGCGUGAGUGAAGAAGGAUUUCGGUUCGUAAAACUCUGUUGUUAGGGAAGAAAAAAUGUAUAGUAACUAUAUACAAAAGAGACGGUACCUAACCAGAAAGCCACGGCUAACUACGUGCCAGCAGCCGCGGUAAUACGUAGGUGGCAAGCGUUGUCCGGAAUUAUUGGGCGUAAAGAGCUUGUAGGCGGUUCGUCGCGUCUGGUGUGAAAGCCCAUCGCUUAACGGUGGGUUUGCGCCGGGUACGGGCGGGCUAGAGUGCAGUAGGGGAGACUGGAAUUCCCGGUGUAACGGUGGAAUGUGUAGAUAUCGGGAAGAACACCAAUGGCGAAGGCAGGUCUCUGGGCCGUUACUGACGCUGAGGAGCGAAAGCGUGGGGAGCGAACAGG
rnacentral:rRNA from 1 species